AUCUAGCUGAAGAGUCCCAAAUGGGACGAAACGCGCGUCCUGGAU
rnacentral:hammerhead_ribozyme from 1 species